rnacentral:rRNA from 1 species
GUAGGGUCCGAGCGUUAUCCGGAAUCAUUGGGGCGUAAAGAGCUCGUAGGCGGUUCAGCAAGUCGGCUGUGAAAGUUCGAGGCUCAACCUCGACAUUGCAGUCGAUACUGCUGUGACUUGAAUUCGGUAGAGGAGAAUGGAAUUCCCGGUGUAGCGGUGAAAUGAGCAGAUAUCGGGAGGAACACCAGUAGCGAAGGCGGUUCUCUGGGCCGAUAUUGACGCUGAGGAGCGAAAGCGUGGGGAGCAAACAGGAUUAGAUACCCUGGUAGUCCACGCCGUAAACGUUGGAUGCUAGGUGUGGCGGUCUACCAACGACUGCCGUGCCGAAGCUAACGCAUUAAGCAUCCCGCCUGGGGAGUACGGCCGCAAGGCUA